AGCUCAGUUGGUAGUGCAUGGCGCUUGCAAUGCCAUGUUUGUGGGUUCGAUUCCCAC
rnacentral:tRNA from 1 species